UGCAUCACUGGUACUGGUGAUGUAGAUAUGCAUCACUCUUCGUUCCCUACUCCUGCUCAAAACGUCCACGACCUACAGAACGGUAACAUGUCACUCCACAUAUCUGAGCUUGGGUCCCCGUGUUCCCAUAGCCAGCCUCUUGGGAAGAUGGUUGAUAUGACUUAUUUGAGAGGG
rnacentral:ribozyme from 1 species